UUAUUAAUUGAUUAUCCCACACAAUAGCUCUAUGAGGAAGGUCAGUGUCAGUAGCUCUAUUUUACAGAUGAGGAAUCAGAUAGCAGUUAAGUGAUUCCCCCCUUCCCACCUCAACAUUUAAAGAUCUUAUGUCAAAGCAGACCUAGGGGUGGGGGCAGCAGGUAAGUUACAAAGUGAUUGAAGAGUAAACAGACUAGGGCUGCCUCUUGCCCAGGCUCCACUUCCUUUGAUCUGUCUUUUGAAAGCCUUCUGAACAUAAGCGAGGUUCUGGACUUGCAUACUGCCUCCCUGGGGCAGCCUAGUUACUCUUGCUGUGCUUGUCUCUUCUACAUAUCCACUGUUGUGUGUUUAAUUUUAUUUCCUUUUCAUUCAUUCAUUCAUUCAUUCAAUGAAACUUAAUUGGGCAUUUAUUGUAGUUGAUUUGGUCAGGAAUAUAGAAAUAAACACGAUUCUUGUCUUUGAGGAACUUUAAUUUCUUAAUAGGGAUACACACACAACACACACACACACAGACACACACUGCUGGAGGACAUGGGAUGAAAAAGGUGUUAAUUCUUCUUGGCAGCAUCACGAAAGUCUAUGCUGAGGAGAUGGUGUUUGAGCCAGUCUCUUGAUAAUGGCAUGCUUGUGAUCCAAGCAGCAGGAUCCUGAUGGUCCCUAAAGGAGAGAUGAUAGAAGGUAUUCUGAAUGUCGGCGACUUCACAUUUGCAAAGGCCAAAGCCUGUUAGCGUUAAAGACAGAAGACAUGAAAGAAAAUCUGGUUAUUCCCAAAUAGAGAUGAAACUUGAUACUACACUUGGUGACUUUCAAGAAUUCCAUUAAUUUGAGUGACUCUUCAAAAUCUUAUCUAAAAUAUGUUUUCCAGCUAACUAUGUAUUUUUAAAGGACAAAUGUAUGUUAUUUAUAUACUGGGUUUCUUGACAACUUGGUAUUAAGCACGCCUUACUAUGCCAUGAUUUAAAAUGUAUUUAUUUAGAUGUGCCAUACUUAAUAAGCAACUUGAAAUUUUGGGACUGACAUGAAAACAUAUUUGUCUAUCUCUGAUUUAUUCUUCUGAAGCCUGGCCAUACUUCUUAGUCUUGAUUCUCUGGCUCUCAGGGAACUGCUGAAAAAUUUCUGAGGUCUUAAGAUCACUUUCUGUAAUUCAAACUCUAUUCUGAGGACAUCCUUUGUAGUUGCAAACUUUCAAGCCUGAGAUUAAUACACCUUUAAUCUUUUAAAAUUAUUGCCCAGUGUCUCCUUAGGUUUGUCACAAUAUUUACCUUAAAAAGGGGUACCCCUUAAAGGAAAAAUGUCUUAAAUUUAGCAGUAGGCUUUGGUAGA
rnacentral:lncRNA from 1 species